rnacentral:lncRNA from 1 species
AUGCAGGUUAUCUGCAGCUUCAAAAUCCUUGGAAGUGCUGAAACUUUGACAAUGCCAAAUGAGAUGUCUGCCUGCCUGUCCUCUGCUGGAUCUCCUACUCAUGAAAGGCCCUUGCCAACAGCUUUGUGGUUUAGAGGAUGUAUGUGGGAUGCUCAUAUCUCUCAUCUGCUUGCAAAGACUUCGAAAGCUUCUGCUUUAACAGAGGAUCACCCAACAAAUGGGUGAAGUUCCGCAGUGGGAGAUGUGCCUACCUCCUUGGACAUACUAAAGCUCUUCAAAGAAAGCAGCUCUGCAUCCUGCUAUUGUCACUUCAUUGUCAGGGGUUGGCUUAACUCCCUCAGAUAAUUCUCCACACGGUAGAUGAGAGCUGUCACUUCCAGAUGAAGCUUCUCUGAAAGUAGCAUGUCUUGCACACCAGUUAUGUUGGCUGACUAGAGCAACUGGCUCCAGCAGCUCAUGGCUAUGAAUCUAGGCAGUAAUGGAUUUAUUUUCCUACAAAGAACAGUGCUAAAAACAUCUUUAAAAUAGUAAGAUUAGCCUCAGGAUGUUUGGUCUCCUCAUAGUCAAGACUGAACACUUCUAAGGAAGAUGAUUUGAAACACCUAAAUUUAAAGUUUUGAGUGAAUUCUCCCCUGCUCAGCACUCCACUGGUUGUAAAGGGAGUCCAGAGCAAUCAUUCUCAUUAUGUUCAAGCUAGUCUUUGUCUUUAAGUACAGGUUGGGUUUACUUAUCAAAAAUUUCAAGCUUCUUGCUACUAAGCAAGUGCAUUAUGCUUCUCUCUCAAUCCACUGUAAGGAUCGAGUGGAGGGAAAAUCAACUUUCUCUUUAUUUCUUGUAAUACUUCUCUGUUUCAAACACAAUGAAAAGUGAAAAAAAAAUGUAAUCAACCAACUCCCUUUUCACUUUAAAUUUGUAUACAUUUAGGAGUUCUAGAACUAUUAACAGAGGUGUGCAUAACUGAUGUAAAUUAUAUCAAGGUCAGUAAACUUUAUUUACUUUUUAUUGCCCAUAUACCACAUGCAUAGGCAAAGACUAGCAGUUGGUGCUAAAUAUUUAUAAAUGCAAAUACUGUAAAGAAUGAAGUCACAGAUGAUUCCUUUUCACCUUUUAAACCAUUAUCCAUAAAUCCACUGGCAUUUUUGCUCUAGAUGGAAAAUAGUUUACUUGUCACAUUAUAUGGAUCCAUUCUGGGAGCAAAAACUCUAUGAAGUUUACUUUCUUUCUCCAGAAAAUUUAGCUAAGCAGAUAGAGAAGUGAAGAUAAGAUCAUUUUAACUGUGUUCUUUACAGCAUGAAAGCUGUGUGCAGAUCACCUUGGCAGAAGCACUGGGUAGAAACAGAGGGAAACAGUUUAAUAAGACUGCAUACAACAAUGCAGAGACUUUUGGAAAACAAGGAAGCCAAAAACUGAUCUCUACAGUCAUAUCAUAAAGCAGUUAAAAACAGCAUGAUCACCUCUAAAUAUAGAAAGCAAAAUUAUCUUUCUUUGGGACAUAGCCAUACUUUUGUCUUUUGAAUAGCAAAAAUGUUUUCUGAAAAACUCUGUGAAUCUGGGAGACCAUAUAUAUUGUGGAUUUACUAUCCACAAGUCUAUCUUAUGACAAAGAAAGCCAAAAGCAGUGUUUUUAAAACCAUUUAUUGUUGAAGUCAACAGGAGUCUUAUCAACUCAUUUCUGUAGGAACUGACAAUGUUUAGACUAACACUGAGCACUUUUCAAAAUCCCCCACUUGCUGUUUAAGUUUUGAACAAAAUGAAUAACAUUUCAAAUAUCUUUCUGUUCUAUUCCUUCCCCUUCUUCCUGCUGGGGGAGAGCAAGGAGAAAAAAAAAAGUGACAUUAUUUUAUUAUAGCCACCGAACCAUAGAGUUUUCUGGUAUUUUAUACCAGUAAAUUCUAGACCCAUCACAGGCAGGAGUCCAAAUUUCUCUUAUGCACUGCAGGGUUGUGAACUAAAUGUUUAGGAAGUAAGUUUUAUUAAAAUGAAUAAAACACAAUUAAAAACUCCA